UAAGUUAUCAUGAAAAAGUAAUACUGUGCUCUAAUUUUCACCAUACCUCCCUAGAAUCAACUGCCUUUUGAUGACUGGGACGAAUUGAGUAAAAUCAUAACGGACAGAUACAGGGCAGACAGUU